AGCCCUUUGAGUUAUUUCUUUCUCUUCCCUUCUCUUUCUUUCUUCUACUUCCAAUUCUUAAAUAUUAACAAGACCUAAUAUUCAUCCCAAAGAUUUCACAGUAAUAUGCUUAAUAAAGCUUGGACUAGUAGCGAUUGGCAAGGCUGGAACAGUGGGACAUUAUGCCUGAUCCUUAAUAAUAGAAACAGAAAUAAUAAAAAGAAAUUAAGAGGCUAGGGUUUGAUGCUUUUAAACCUAAUAAUAUAAAUAUGCUUACGAAGUU
rnacentral:misc_RNA from 1 species